CCCUUAGAUGUUCUGGGCAGCACGCGCGCUACAAUGGUCUUCGCAAACGGAUGCAUUCUCGAAGGAGAAUGCCAAUCUUGGAAUCUAUGCCUUGGUCGGGACAGUUGCUUGCAAUUUUUCGACUCGAACCAGGAAUUCCUUGUAAUCGUGAUUCAUCACAUCACGAUGAAUACGUCCCUGCCCUUUGUACACACCGCCCGUCGCUCCUACCGAUCGAAGAGUUAGGUGAAUUGUUUUGAUCGAUAAGAUUUGACUAUGGUCAACUCUCGUUGUGAAAUUCUGUGAAGCUGACUGUUUAGAGGAAGGAAAAGCCGUAACA
rnacentral:rRNA from 1 species